GAGGGGGAGUGACAGAGUGGCUCUGGUGGGCACCUGGCACCCAGCCAGGGUCAACCCACCACAGUCACACUAAUUGAUGAAGGCAUGUGAGAGGGUGAGAAUGUUUAUUCCACCAAGCUUAUAUGAUCAGGGACCUUGUCAGCUGGGAAACUACGGGAAAAAGCAGGAAGACAGAACCAAAGUAUUCAGAGACAUAGACCUGACAGAACAUGGAGACAAUGACAAGAAACAAACCUCGCCUGUUACACUAAUUGAUGAGCUAUCAAGAAACUACAGGUGCCACUUUCAGGAGCAGACUUUGCGAACCAGGAGAGAUGGUGGACACCGGACUGGCAAGGGGGUGGAAAUGCUUCCAGUCAGCCAUGCUGGUCCACCUGGCACGUUGGGAGCUGUAUUCUUUCUGCAUGGGGCUGCCAGAGAGCCAUGUGGGCCCCCUGGGCGUGCUGGGAGGCGUAGCACUGCUGCCAAAGUUGCUACCAAGGUUUGGUGCUGCAGCUCAGACUUUGGGCAUGCACAGUUCUUGGGAGUGGGCUCCGGCCCCUCCCUCAUGCCGUCAGCUCGGGCGCAUGUGCAGUGCCCAGGAGCAACGUGAGACACGACUUACCCAUUCUUCCCGUGUGGAUGUCAUUGACGGCAUCUGGCUUUGGUUCCCUCAGUUGUCUCCGAUUUGCCUUGUUAUCAUGUAAGUGUUUGUGAAAAGCGAAAAGUCUAACAGUCACUUGCUUUUUAGAGUAGCUGUUGUGGCUGAAGUUGGAGAGACCAGAAAAAGGUAAACCAGCUGAAGAAUAAAAUGAAGUUGAUUGAAUUGGAACCUGUCUCUAUCUGCAGAUGAGAAACCCCAUCUCUCUGGAGGCCACGCUGUGGGUGCGGUUGUCCGUUCGUCCCCCAGGGAUGCCGUUGAAAGCAGCAGCCUCAGGCUUGCGUGGGCUGUCUCUGCCUGGCCUCCCUCUCCUCGCGGCGCGGGAGCGCAGAGGGACAGGCGGAGCGCUUACUGGCUGUGGGCAGGAGCUGCUGAAGCUGGAGAGGCCACAGAAGGGUAAAGCUGCUGAAGAAUAAAAUAAAGAGGAUCCAGCCAGCACCUGCAGACAAGAGACAGCCUGCCUCUCCAGGUGGAUGAUAGUCAAGUGACUGCAGCUACAGAGGAGGAAAGGAGAGGGAGAGAGAGACAGACAUGUCUGAACUGUCAAAUUCUCCCAGCAGCUCCAAGAGCGGGAGGUACAGUGAGUCCUGGACCCCUGGGGCUGUGUCACCCCUCUUCUGCAUCCCAGUCCCUCCCUGCCCCCACCUUCUCUUUCUCUCACUGCUUUAAUUUUUUUGUUUUUUCUUCUUGCACCUCUCCCUCUCUUGUUCUCCAAGUCCCCCUCUUUCUCUGUUGUUCUGCCUCUGUUUUCUUUUUCUCUCUGCACUUCUGUCCUGUCCCAUCCCUCUUUUUUCUUAUCCUCUGUCUCUGCCCUGCAGCCCAUCACUACUUUGUCUUUCUCCAUCUAUCUGUCUGUCUUCUUAUCCCAAUCUUGUUAAUUCCUCCCUGUCUGCCCUUUAGCCCUUCACAAUUCCUGCCGCUCUCACCUGUCUGACGCUGUGUCUCUAUUUUUAAUUUCCUUUCUCUGCCCUGUAUUCUAGAUACACUUUUACUUUCUUAGAUUCUCUUGUUCCAGGUCCCUGUCCCUAUGUUUUAACUUCUUCCCUCACUGUCCCAUAGCCCAUUUUUGUCUUUAUCAUUCUCUCUCUGUCUGGCUCCCUGUCCCUAUUCUUUAUUUCCCCUCUCUCUCCCCUUUAGAUGAUCAAUGUUUUUGAUAUUUCUCAGUCUCUCUCAUCCACCUCACUGUCCCCUUUUUUAAUUCUUCCUUCUGCCCUGUGGCUCAUCACUAAUCUUUGUUUUUCUCCAUCUCUCUGUCUGGUACCCUCUCCCUUUUUAUUAGUUUCUCCUCUCUGUCCUGUAGCCCAUUGCUAUUUCCCUCCCACCCUGCCUCUCUCUGUCUCCCUUUCCCUACUUUUCAAUCCCCCCUCUCUGCCCUGUAGCCAAUCACUGUUGUAGUGAGUUUGUGUGGCAGGCUGGGGCAGGGGAGUGGGCAGGGGCUGCAGGGGUGGGUUCUGUGAGAAGACACCAGGACUUGCCCCCAUGUUGGGCACAGCCAGUUCCAGCUCCAAGAUGGAGCUGCUACUGUGCGGGCGCAUA